GAAUGGAAGCGAAGAUCGUGUCUUCAGUAGAGAACCUGGCAGCUUGCUCACUGUCGGCUGCUCCUUCAGCUUCGCUGGAACAAACAAGUAUUUCUGCCGAGGAGGAUGUGAAGAAGAACAAGACAUUCUUGUUUCCACCAAUGGAGUCAGAGCUCAGAGCGGCAGAUACAGCACCGGACAUGACCAAUCAGCGUCUUCAAAGAUCUUCUAUGUGACCAUUAAAAAUCUGACCCGCUUUGAUUCUGGGCGAUACAGAUGUUUUUCAUAUUUAAAUUCUGGGACAAACGCCAACGUAGAUUAUCGCAUCAACAUCUCAGAUGCCUCUGAAGCCACUGAUCCACCACCUCUGUCUGAGAAUGGAGCAUCUGCAGCUCCAUCUGACAACUAUCUUCCCGUUAUCGUCGCUGUUCUGGUCGUCAUCAUCAUCCUGUUAUCAGCAGCACUUCUGGUUUCCUGCAGGAUACGAUCUCUGAGGGGU